rnacentral:rRNA from 1 species
AUUGAACGCUGGCGGCAGGCCUAACACAUGCAAGUCGAGCGGAUGAGAGGAGCUUGCUUCUCGAUUCAGCGGCGGACGGGUGAGUAAUGCCUAGGAAUCUGCCUGGGAGUGGGGGACAACGUUUCGAAAGGAACGCUAAUACCGCAUACGUCCUACGGGAGAAAGCAGGGGACCUUCGGGCCUCGCGCUAUCAGAUGAGCCUAGGUCGGAUUAGCUAGUUGGUGAGGUAAUGGCUCACCAAGGCGACGAUCCGUAACUGGUCUGAGAGGAUGAUCAGUCACACUGGAACUGAGACACGGUCCAGACUCCUACGGGAGGCAGCAGUGGGGAAUAUUGGACAAUGGGCGAAAGCCUGAUCCAGCCAUGCCGCGUGUGUGAAGAAGGUCUUCGGAUUGUAAAGCACUUUAAGUUGGGAGGAAGGGUUGUAGAUUAAUACUCUGCAAUUUUGACGUUACCGACAGAAUAAGCACCGGCUAACUCUGUGCCAGCAGCCGCAGUAAGAC